ACUCAAAGGAAUUGACGGGGGCCCGCACAAGCAGCGGAGCGUGUGGUUUAAUUCGAUGCAACGCGAAGAACCUUACCCGGGCUUGACAUGCACGUGGUACCGAGUCGAAAGGCGAGGGACCCGCAAGGGAGCGUGCACAGGUGCUGCACGGCUGUCGUCAGCUCGUGCCGUGAGGUGUUGGGUUAAGUCCCGCAACGAGCGCAACCCCCGCGAGUAGUUACCACGUCUACUCGGACCGCCGGGACCAACCCGGAGGAAGGUGGGGACGACGUCAAGUCAGCAUGGCCCUGACGCCCGGGGCGACACACACGCUACAAUGGCCGGGACAAUGGGCCGCGAGGCCGCGAGGCGGAGCCAAUCCCACCAAACCCGGCCCCAGUUCGGAUCGGAGGCUGCAACCCGCCUCCGUGAAGUCGGAGUUGCUAGUAACCGCCGGUCAGCACACGGCGGUGAAUGCGUUCCCGGGCCUUGUACACACCGCCCGU
rnacentral:rRNA from 1 species